CAGGUAUCUACUACCCUUUCUAUAUCACUGUUACUGCUCCCACUGGAAGGUUAUUCCAGGUAUCUACUACCCUUUCUAUAUCACUGUUACUGCUCCCACUGGAAGGCUAUUCCAGGUAUCUACUACCCUUUCUAUAUCACUGUUACUGCUCCCACUGGAAGGUUAUUCCAGGUAUCUACUACCCUUUCUAUAUCACUGUUACUGCUCCCACUGGAAGGCUAUUCCAGGUAUCUACUACCCUUUCUAUAUCACUGUUACUGCUCCCACUGGAAGGCUAUUCCAGGUAUCUACUACCCUUUCUAUGUCACUGUUACUGCUCCCACUGGAAGGCUAUUCCAGGUAUCUACUACCCUUUCUAUAUCACUGUUACUGCUCCCACUGGAAGGC